rnacentral:lncRNA from 1 species
AUUUCCAUCACAUUUUUAACUGUCCUAAUAUUGAUCACCCUACAGAGGAAUGAGACUGAAGCCUGGUAGUUAUUAGUAUAAAGAGGGUCAGCUGCUGAGACGGUCCAGAGCAGAGGCUCUCAUGGUAAUGAUGCUGCUAUUUAUAGAUCCCCAUUUCAUUAGUUGCAGAGUUUCAAGGAAGAGAUUUUCUCUAGGGGAAAUGGAUACUUGAAGUUCAUUUUCUUCCUCACAUUAAGGCAGGAACGUGAACAACCUUCAGUAUAGGAUGUGCGAUUAUGGUAUUUUUGCAGGGGCAGUUUAUUCCCUACAUGUAUUUGCCACAGUAAAUGUACAUUUAAAACAUAAUGUAGGGACUCAGAAAUGCCAGCUGCUGUUUUGGCCGAAUAGUACAUUAUGUACGUUGCUCUUGAUAUCCUUGUCAUUUUUUUUUCUUGUAAAAAUUAAAUUUCAAAAAUUGUCCAAAGCUGAGUAUAAUCAUGGUCUUCUCUUUCUUCCGAGUGCUUUAGAGCCUAAGAAGGAUUGUGAGAAGUGCCAGUCCCCCCAGGUCCAGUCUGUCUACAGUGUGUUAUCUGUCUAUAUUUGUGAUAUAGGUAAUUGUGCUUUCUUUCUGGAAUUCUUGACAUUUGAGUUAUUUUUUUCCCUUUAAGAGAAUAUUUACUUAGCUAGUAUUCACUUAAUUAGAACUGACUGUUUAAUGUUUUCUGGGCGGGUAUUUAUGGUAUUUUCUUUGCUAUAUUUGCAUUCCAGAAAUUAAGUCCCCCUGCCAUUAUUCGGCAAGCCUUUCAUACAUUAGAAUGAUGAAUUGAAAGCAGAAAUGGGAAAAAGACUGCAAUGCAAUGAAAAUUUAAUCAGCGUCUUCUGCUGCUUUAAUAAGGCAAAUAAUUCUUAUUGGCCGCUGUGUUAAGGUUUCUAAUAUUUAAUUCAUAACAAACCUUGCAUUAUUCUGCAGUUGCAUCGACAGCUCCACUUUGCUGCCUGCCAACAGGCAACCAUAAAAACUUAAAAGCAGAUGUAAAUGUCUAAAACAAGGAGAAUGAUUAGAUCUAAAGCG